UCCUCGGUGGCUCAGAUGGAUAGAGCGUCUGCCAUGUAAGCAGGAGAUCCUGGGUUCGAAUCCCGGUCGGGGAA
rnacentral:tRNA from 1 species